rnacentral:rRNA from 1 species
UACGUAGGGGGCGAGCGUUGUCCGGAUUUAUUGGGCGUAAAGCGCACGCAGGCGGUCUCGUCAGUUUGGAGUGACAGUGCUGGGACUCAACUCAGCAAGGUCUCCGAAUACUGCGGGACUUGAGGACCAGAGAGGGACAUAGAAUUCCGGGUGGAGUGGUGAAAUGCGUAGAGUAUCCGGAGGAAUACCAAAGGCGAAGGCAGUGUCCUGGCUGGUAACGUGACGCUCAGGUGCGAAAGCUAGGGGAGCGAACGAGG